CAUAAGAGCUGGGAGGCCAGGUUUGAAUUCAGAAUUCCAGGGCUCUCUGGAGUUCCACUCCAGAAUGUGGCAGAGCUCGUUCAGAAUGUGGGGAGAGCUCAUCCAGGUCAAGGCCUGGCCCCUUGCCUGUGUCCCCACAACUUCCUCUGGCACUGCCAAGGCCUCUGCUGCGCACACGCAGACACCCGGCCCGAAGUCCCAGUUCCACCCACCCUUCCACGGAGAGCUGCCCCUGGCGGCCCACACACCUGCACACUUGAUUUGGGUCACCUUUGGAGGACGUACCCAGGAAGGAGCUCUGAGAGGAAGCCCCCUGCCAUUUGGGCAGGAAAUUCAGAGUCCCAGGUCAGGGCUCCCAGAGCAGGUGCCCCAAGACAGGAAGUGAAAGCUGCCAGACACUUAAAGCCCGGACCCGGGAACCAGGACAGCAGCCCUUCCACCAUUCCCUAUCAGUCAACUGGCUCUAGAUCCCAACCUCGUUCACAGAGAAGGGACAGAGAGUCCACAUCUCAAUGGGAAAAGGAGCAAAGAACUGUGGCCAUCUUUAAUCUAUCACAGAUGGAAAAUUUACAGGUAUUAUAAUUUUUCAAACAAGGGAGGUAAAAAUGGAAGGUCAGAAGAUGGUGGCGCCAUAUUGGUCUAUGACAUCUAGAAAUAUAAAAAGGUAAUUUUUGGUAGCUUGAUGUUCAGCAAUGUUCUUAAUGCUCUCUCCCUGCUCCUGACCCCACUGCCUUACCCACCCCACGUCCCACUCAGCAGAUACUUGCCUCACUUGAGUCAGUCCACUCAACCAAUUGAAGUUCCUAAUGAGUGUAAUGUGUGUCCUGAGGUAUUGAUGGGAAGAUCAAUGGACUUUCAGAGAACCUCAACCUUCCUUCAUGAAGCUCAAAGUCUAGUGAAGGGAAUAAGGAAGAUAUCCAGCGGUGUGCUGGUAAGCCAGCUCUCUGAAGGAGUGGGGGGCCCUGAUUUGUAGUUUUUGCUGAUUUUCCUGGCAUAAAUACUCCACCAUGGUUGGUUUCAAACUGCCAAUAUGACUUCACUGUACUGGAGUUGGAAAAAGAUGUGCAAAACCAGCUUUGAGAGCUAGUGCACACUGACCCUGGCCCCCACUGACGGUUUCCAAAGGAUGAAAGCAAGACAGGAUAUGGUCAAUGCCAAGAAAAAGCUGCAGGAAAGACAGAGUCUGGUUGGGGGUGAUGUGAGGGGGUGCUGCCUCCUGAAGGAGAUGACAUUUAGGGUCAACUUUGGCGGAUGGGUAGAGAUGAGUGAAGGAAGACAUUCCAGGCAGGAGGAACAGUUUGGAAUAAGGCGCAGAGGUGGGAAAGCCCCAAAUAUAUCAAAGAAAAUCACAAGGCAGGACACAUGGAGAAGAAUGGUUAGAGAUCUGAUUGGAAAAGGCAAGGCAGACCCCAAAGAUGGAGAGUCUUGAAAGUGGAGCUGAGGAGUUAAUACUUAACUCAUCGGGUAUGGGAGCCACGGAGGGCUUUUGAGCAGGGACUGGUGUGGACUCAAUCUCCAGGGAUUAAGCAGGCAGCAGGAUGGAGGGUGGACUGGAAUCAGGGGGAGCCUGCGAGGUCGGACCGCCUGAUAAGAGACAGGAGAUGGGGCUGCCGGAGGAAGCGAGGAGGCCACAGACUCAGCCACUCAGCUAGACUCUGAAAUGAGAGAGCAAAGGAACGUGUGACACUCAGCUCCCAGGCCACAGGCUGGGGAUCUGGGAUGAUUUGUUAGUUUGCUCUGAGGAGGUAUUCUCCAGGAGAAAUUAGAAAUGUUAAUGGUCAAUUCUUGAAAAUGGUUUGUCCUUCAGACAAAGAAUGAGGGGCUCCCUGGGGGCAGCUGGCAGGGGAAAAUUUGGGACAGGGCACGUCUCCAUGGUGACAAGGGGAAGCUGAGAGUGAGUUUGGACCUGAGCUGCCUGGGGCUGUGAGGUCAGUGAUCCAUCCCUUGGCCCUGUGCUGCUCAGUCGACUCUGAUGUUGUCCUAAAUGAGGCUGGGGCACGAAGAGUCACCAAGGAUAUGCCCUUUACACGGAUGCCGUGCUCUGCGGCCUGUCAAGUGCUUUUAGAAGCGUUAUCCCCUUGAAUCAUCGUACACGUCCUGUCUGAGAGUCAGUAUUUAGGGCCCAUUUUACAGGUGAAGAAGCUGAGGCCCAAAGAGGUGAGGGACUUGGACAGCAGCAUGUGGUGGAGCGCGUGCUCCCUCCUACCCAACGCUUUGGCCUUGGAAUGUCCAGCCCACUGGAGAUAUGAAACUUGCACUCAUGAGAUAAUCGGCAGGAAAUAAAGAGAGCUCUUUCUGUGACCUUCUCCAACUCAACAACCCCAACGACACUGGGUCUGACGGAGCUCUUCGGGAACCCCAUCAGGACAACCCCUUUCACCUGUAAGUGUUUAUUGCACAAGAGCAACCCUCACAGUCGACCCAGGUGAAGCCACCCCCCCUCACAGGUAACCGAAAUACACCUGGGCCGCCUCUGAGUUGAACUCAAAUGGAACAUGGCGCUCUCCCAAAGCCUCGACAAUUUUCCUAAAGUCUCUUGAAGAGGGAGAGACAGGAGGACAGAAAGGAGAGGCGCUCGGGAACCGUAUGCCAAACCCGCAGCCCACGGUCCACUUCCUGAAAACCCUGGUACCCACUUCUCUCUCCAGAGCCCCACAACCACAGGGCGGGCGCUCCUCCGCCUUCCCCUCACGCUCAAACUCCGCGGGGCCCGCUGGCUCCUCGAGCACUCAGCCCCGCUUCCCCGCUCUCUCCCGCACACCCUGCCAACAGUUUCCUUCCGAGAGUAGCCCUAAGUGCUUUCUUUUGAAAAUCAAUUUAGCCUCUCUAACCUCUAGCAUUUUCCUGUGGCCUCCUCAGCCAUUAUCCCAAUUAACACAACAAAGGGCCGGGUUCGGAAGGCCGUGCAGAGUCAAGGGGAAAGGCUGUGAAUAAAAACCUGUUUGUCACUGUCGUUUGUCUUAUUGGGUGUGAUGGAAGAUUCUGAGCCGCAGCUGAGGGCACCUGGCUUUCACCUCAGCCCAGUCGUUCAUUACGUGUGCGACCUCCCUCCAACAGGUCGUUUAACAGUAGGACCUUCACUUAAGAAUAGAAACUGGGGAUAGCGGCUCCCCCCUGUGGGAUGAGAGACACUGUGAACUUUGAACCUGCCAGGUCUGGAGAUGAAGAGGGAUAGCCAGGAUCCUGUUUUGGACAAAAAGCAUCACCGAGUCUCACCCUGAGGAAACAGAUCCAAACUGAAGAACAUUUCCCAAAACAACGGGUCUGUGGUCCUCAGAAAUGCCAAGGUUUUCUGUAAGUGUGAAAGUAUUUCAAGACAAAAAGUUAAAAAAAAAAAAACACAGUGAUACACAAGAGCUCUGAGGUCACGAAUUUUAAUCUAUUGAAGAAGCUUGUUACUCCAUCCAUUCAUUGCACAGACAUUUACCGAGCGCCUACUGUGUGCCAGACAUGGCUCGGAAUUCGGAUGCAGGGAACAAGGACCCAGUCUAGAAAGCUAGGCCGGGUCAGGGCUGUUGUGGGUUUCACACUUGUUCCCCCAGCCCGCUUCGGCCUCCAGGCUCUCAUUGUCGCAGAGGAGGCUGGUGCUGCUGCCAGGAGGCCCUUCCUGGAAACUGCCCCCACCUGGAGACAUCUACUUCCCCCGAGGUUUCGCCUCCUCCCAGCAUCUACCGACUGAUUAUUUGGGGGUGUCGUUCAAGGCCUGCCCCUUGCCUGGACUCGGGAUAACUCUAAAGGCUAUCCCAGCUUCGGAUCUCCCACAGGGUCAGCUCAGACCCCCACUGAGACAACACCUCAGUUCAAUGUCUCUCCUUGCCCAAAGCACCCUACACAACCUCUGUCUCCGAGUUUGUGUCCAGGGAGCCUGAUCAAUAAUUGAGUCCCAACAGGAAACAAAUGCCACAGCCAGAUUAGGCUGAAGCCCCAGGAGACAGAAUGUUUCCUGGAAUCGAAAAAGAGAGUCGUGUGGAGUGAGGUUCUUCAGUGAGAUGCAGCCAGUCCAAGACGGCCCUGCUGAGAGUGUGCUUCCUCACUCUCCUCCUCUCCUCUGACUCCCGCCAUGGCUCCCCCCUGGCCAAACCCAGCCAGAAGCCAAGUGUGUGAGCACUGCGGAUGUCAGUCAUGUGGCCCCAGAAGCAGUUCAACCCAUGCAUCCUUCCAGCAGGCUGGCCACUCCCACCUGCAGAGCGGAAAUGGUCCUGCUUCUGCCACCAUUUCUAUGUCAUAAAAAACCCUAAAACUUGGUGACUCAAAACAACAAAAAUGUAUUAUUUCUCACAACUGUGGGUUGAUCGUGGUCCUUCUGCUUUGUGUGGUGUCAGCUGGGACACUGGGAAGGCUGGAAGGCACCAAGUGUCCACACUCCCCCGGCUUGGCUGCAGGUGGAAGUUCAGGGGUGCUCCCCUCCUCUCUGCUGGGGCCUCCCCACUCGGCUACUUGGGCUUCCUCACAGAAUGGCAGUCAGGUUCCAAGAAGCAAAGACAGAAGCUGCAGAUCUCUGCGGCCUUGGGACCUACACAGCAUCACUUGCGCUGCAUCCCACUCCUCGAAAGAAGUCAGAGGCCAGCCCCGAUGCAAGGGCAGGGAAUUAGAUCUAGUCUCUGAAUGCAGAGAAGUGGCAAAGAAUGGUGGUCAUCCUGAGAGGCAGAGACAAAACAACCGCAUGGCAAAGGCUGAAGACCCCCACGUGACCGCUGCCCCAUUGCCCAACAGUGUUCCUGCCAGCCAUGUCGUGACUGACGUUAGCAGGGACUUCCCACCUGUGGUUGUGCUUCUGCACACGUCCCAGCCCUCUCAGGCCUACCCUUUCAGUACUCCGCGUGCAGUGCAAGCCAGGGGUCCAGACCAAUGUGGUCACCUUGGCGCUUGAUUUUUAGUGGUCUCUUGGCCUUCAGAUUUUAAACUCCCAGGUGACACAAACUAUAUCUUCUAAAAUGCUCUGUCCAUCUUAGUGAAAGUCAUUUUGCCCUUCCCCUGGGGAAUUGUAGUUAACAAGUGUGAUCCAUGUUUAAAUUAUGUAUCUGUGAACAUAUAAAUUAUAUACCCAUAUUUGCAAGGCUGCCACCUUGCACAACUCCAUGGAGGCACCAUUCACACAAUAGGCUUUGUAAAUGGUGUCCCCUGGAGUUAUGCAG
rnacentral:lncRNA from 1 species